rnacentral:sRNA from 1 species
GGCUAGGCAGGUGUCUCCCUCCCUCACCACUCCAUGUGCAUCCCUCCCACAGCUGUGUGCUUGGUCGAAGAGGACGACCUUCCCAGCUGGGGGAGGACGUUCUUUGGUCAGGGUAUACCGAGUAGCUGCACUCCCCUGCUAGAACCUCCAAACAAGCUCUCAAAAUGAUGCCCUUUUAUUUUUAGAAACCUUGAACUCAGAAUGUUUUGUGUAGUAACAGAAUAUCUCCCUCUUUAAUUGCCUGUUUAUCAUAGCCUCCAAAUU